CCCCGUAUCUGUCGCCCGUGACCUCCGUGGCGCCCCGUCCCGGCGGCCAGUACCUGAGGCGCGAGUGUCCGCGCGGCCAGGGCCUUAGUCAGACCACUUCGAAGGAUGAGCAUGGUGCGGCCUUGAAUGCUGGGAAAGGCAGCCAAAUCUAGAGACAGGCAGACUUGCUCAACCUGAUGGAUGGCAAAGGCUCCUUACCAGGUGAAGGGCUGGAUAUUCACACAGCAACAGUUCGUGGCCCUUUCGUGGAAAAGGUUGCUGAUCACUAGAUGGAGUUGGAAGGGAUUCUUGCCUCAGAUUGUCCUGCCAGCUGUUUGUCUGUGUUGCCCUGGUGUUCAGCUUGAUCAUGCCACCCUUUGGCAAGUACCCCAGCCUGGAACUUCAGCCCUGGAUGUACAGUGAACAGUACACAUUUGUCAGCAACACAGCAAAAGCUCCAGAGGAGGGAAUAAAAAUAUAAAACACUAUUAAAAAAUCAGAAUGUGGGGCCUCCCCUGGUGGUGCAGCGGUUGAGCGCUGGGCUGUGAAGCUGCCUGCAGCCUCUACAACACUGGUUCCAUCCCCGGCUGCCAGCCAGGGUCCCAAAAUGGCGCGAGAGACCUCUCCUGCCACGCCUGUUGCUCCCCUCAGCACUGUAUUUUGUCAGUCUUCCUGUUCUGUUCCCCACUCUGGCUCUGGUGAAUUCUCUCAUCCUCCCACGCUUCUGACUGUACCUAGUGCUUGUAUAAAUAAAUAAAUUAAUUAAAAAAAAUCAGAAUGUGUAUAUAGGCUUUUAUUAGGGCAAACAUUUCCAUGACCACAAUAUCUUUUUAAAACAAAUGUUUCAAGUAUCUUUGUUAGUGAUCCAACAUAAAAUUAAAAUUAGUAAAAUUAAU